rnacentral:rRNA from 1 species
AGUGAACGCUGGCGGUAGGCCUAACACAUGCAAGUCGAACGGCAGCACAGUAAGAGCUUGCUCUUACGGGUGGCGAGUGGCGGACGGGUGAGGAAUACAUCGGAAUCUACUUUUUCGUGGGGGAUAACGUAGGGAAACUUACGCUAAUACCGCAUACGACCUACGGGUGAAAGCAGGGGAUCUUCGGACCCUGCGCGAUUGAAUGAGCCGAUGUCGGAUUAGCUAGUUGGCGGGUAAAGGCCCACCAAGGCGACGAUCCGUAGCUGGUCUGAGAGGAUGAUCAGCCACACUGGAACUGAGACACGGUCCAGACUCCUACGGGAGGCAGCAGUGGGGAAUAUUGGACAAUGGGCGCAAGCCUGAUCCAGCCAUACCGCGUGGGUGAAGAAGGCCUUCGGGUUGUAAAGCCCUUUUGUUGGGAAAGAAAAGCAGCAGGUUAAUACCCCGCUGUUCUGACGGUACCCAAGGAAUAAGCACCGGCUAACUUCGUG